rnacentral:tRNA from 1 species
GGAGAGGUGUCAGAGUGGCCGAAUGAGCACGCUUGGAAAGCGUGUGUACUUCACAGUACCGAGGGUUCGAAUCCCUCUCUCUCCGCCA